rnacentral:rRNA from 1 species
GACGAACGCUGGCGGCGUGCUUAACACAUGCAAGUCGAACGAAGUGGCGAACGGGUGAGUAACGAGUAAUCAACCUGCCCUUCAGGGGGGGACAACAGUUGGAAACGACUGCUAAUACCGCAUACUGAAGGAGGGGAGUGCGUCUGAUUAGCUAGUUGGGGGGGGAACGGCCCACCAAGGCGAUGAUCAGUAGCCGGUCUGAGAGGAUGAACGGCCACAUUGGGACUGAGACACGGCCCAGACUCCUACGGGAGGCAGCAGUGGGGAAUCUUCCGCAAUGGACGAAAGUCUGACGGAGCAACGCCGCGUGAGUGAUGACGGCCUUCGGGUUGUAAAGCUCUGUUAAUCGGGACGCGGUACCGGAAUAGAAAGCCACGGCUAACUACGUGCCAGCAGCCGCGGUAAUUC